rnacentral:snoRNA from 1 species
CACUAUGAUGAAAAAGAGCUUUGCUCGAAUAACCCAGCUCGUUGAGGCGGGAGUAACGCCCCAUUAUGCCGUUGAGAAUAACCUUCCAGCUGAUCCCUUCGUUAUCA